GCGGCUGUGGCGAAAUUGGUAGACGCACCAGAUUUAGGUUCUGGCGCCGAGAGGUGUGAGAGUUCGAGUCUCUCCGUCCGCACCA
rnacentral:tRNA from 1 species